rnacentral:rRNA from 1 species
GACGAACGCUGGCGGCGUGCUUAACACAUGCAAGUCGAACGGAAAGGCCCUGCUUUUGUGGGGUGCUCGAGUGGCGAACGGGUGAGUAACACGUGAGUAACCUGCCCUUGACUUUGGGAUAACUUCAGGAAACUGGGGCUAAUACCGGAUAGGAGCUCCUGCUGCAUGGUGGGGGGUGGAAAGUUUCGGCGGGUGGGGAUGGACGCGCGGCUGAUCAGCUUGCUGGUGGGGUAGUGGCUUACCAAGGCUUUGACGGGUAGCCGGCCUGAGAGGGUGAACGGCCACAUUGGGACUGCGAUACGCCCCAGACUCCUACGGGAGGCAGCAGUGGGGAAUAUUGCACAAUGGGCGGACGCCUGAUGCAGCAACGCCGCGUGCGGGAUGACGGCCUUCGGGUUGUAAACCGCUUUCGCCUGUGACGACGCGUGAGUGACGGUAAUGGGUAAAGAAGCACCGGCUAACUACGUG